GACGAACGCUGGCGGCGUGCCUAAUACAUGCAAGUAGAACGCUGAAGGAGGAGCUUGCUCUUCUGGAUGAGUUGCGAACGGGUGAGUAACGCGUAGGUAACCUGCCUGGUAGCGGGGGAUAACUAUUGGAAACGAUAGCUAAUACCGCAUAACAGUAGAUGUUGCAUGACAUUUGCUUAAAAGGUGCAAUUGCAUCACUACCAGAUGGACCUGCGUUGUAUUAGCUAGUUGGUGGGGUAACGGCUCACCAAGGCGACGAUACAUAGCCGACCUGAGAGGGUGAUCGACCACACUGGGACUGAGACACGGCCCAGACUCCUACGGGAGGCAGCAGUAGGGAAUCUUCGGCAAUGGACGGAAGUCUGACCGAGCAACGCCGCGUGAGUGAAGAAGGUUUUCGGAUCGUAAAGCUCUGUUGUAAGAGAAGAACGAGUGUGAGAGUGGAAAGUUCACACUGUGACGGUAUCUUACCAGAAAGGGACGGCUAACUACGUG
rnacentral:rRNA from 1 species